AUGGGAGCCACUGCCCCGGUGUGACCCGUCUGUAAGGUUCAACAAAAUAAAGACCACCCAUCCCAAGCCCUCAGACACCUCCCAGUAUGGAUGGCUUGGUCGAGCAGAACAACGUGCUGAUGCACAAUAAGAUCGCUGAAGCCGGGAAAAGGAAUGGUUUAAUUAAUACAAGGAACUUAGUGGCAGAGAGCCGAGAUGGUCUGGUCUCUGUGUACCCAACCCCCCAGUACCAGAGCCACCGACCUGGCAGCCUUUCCUCUCCCAGCUGCCUGGAGAACGGCAGGAACGACCCCGUCCAGCAGCUCCUGGACCCCAACAUGCUGCAGCAGACGGUGGAGUCUCACUACCGGCCCAACAUCAUCCUCUACUCGGAGAACGUGCUCCGCUCGUGGGGUGAGAGCAUUGGCUCGGAGUGCUGUGAAACCACCUUCAUCGAGGACCGCUCUCCCACCAAAGACAGCCUGGAGUACCCGGACAGCAAGUUCAUCGAUCUCUCGGCGGAUGACAUCAAGAUUCACACCCUCUCCUACGAUGUGGAGGAAGAGGAGGAUUUCCAGGAGCUAGAGAGCGAUUACUCAAGUGACACUGAAAGUGAAGACAAUUUCCUGAUGAUGCCACCAAGAGAUCAUCUCGGCCUCACUGUGUUCUCCAUGCUCUGCUGCUUCUGGCCAUUGGGAAUUGCUGCCUUCUACCUGUCUCAUGAGACAAACAAAGCAGUAGCCAAGGGGGACUUCCACCAUGCAAGCUCCAGCUCCCGGCGAGCGCUCUUCCUGGCUGUCCUGUCCAUCACAAUCGGAACUGGCAUCUACGUCGGGGUGGCUGUGGCUCUUAUUGCCUAUCUGUCCAAAAACAAUCAUUUAUGAGCCUCAGGAAAGGGGGAGAACCAGCCACCCCGGCGCCUGCGCUGCAGAACUCCCCGGCAGAUCUGACUGCAUGAUUUUCCCAAAAGACCAAGAGACAAACAAACACCUUACGGGGGCAGGUACAGGAUAAGAUGGGCUUGUGCAUUAUUGUAGGGUGGGAAGCUGGCUGGGGUGGGGAUGGCUCCAUCAUUUGUGAUGCACAAGUCUCGAUUCUCUUCAUGAACCCCCGUGCAAGAAAGAAAGAAGGAGAGAAAGAGAGAAAGAAAAAGAAAAAAAAGUGAGAGAGAGAGAGAAAGAGAAAGAGAAAAAAAAAAACCCAACACAAAACCAGAAGGAAGGCAGUUGGGGGAGGUGUGGAGAGGGGUGUUUUGCCUUUGCCUUCUUUGCAAUAUGGUGUUUACAAGAAGCUGGCAAACUGAGCUGUUCUCUUAAUACUUCCUUGGUCACCUGAAUUUUGCAGCCAGCAUGAGCUCGUGCUUAGUUUGCCUGGUAAGCACAGCACUGAGAUCUGGGAAAGCAUGGACAGUGGCUGGUUCUCUGAAAGAGCAAUAUAACAACAGGAGGAAGAAUAUGUUUUCUUUUUUUUGAAUGCAGGACUCACUUGCCUAAGAGUGAAGCAGAGACCUCAGCGUAGAAUUGUAUUGCCUACUCUUCCUGCGUGGGUAGGUUUCCACGGAAGGAGAAAAGGGAAUUAAAAAAAAAAUAUUUUUUCUUUCCUAUCCUUGUUUUUGGAUUAAGAUGUGACCCCCCCAGGCCCACCUAAUGCAGACAGCUGAGGUUACUGCAUGACUUGGCUCCGCAGACCGAGUGUGAGGUCGAAGUAGCAUGGGACCCGCUGUAAAAUGAAUUCCUCCAUCCAGUCACAUCGUGAUAAUGGCACAUUCCUCUGGCGUUUUGCUCAUCUGGGUUCCUCCGCCUUACCGUGGAGACCUGCACAGCAGUCACUGCAAGAAACCUGGGGGGGGGGAAAAGAUGCAAAACUGAAAUACCGAUCAAUUUUAAACUAAAAAUCAUGGUAAAGCAUGGGAAUUAAGCAGGGGAAGGAAUGCUUCAUACAUUUCUGAGGUUCUGCUCAUGCACAGAGCAGUGAAGGAGACCACUCAGAUUACAAGCUCACAGCUCAUCCGUGGACCAGGGACACAGCAUAGCCAUGGAGAGACAAGCAUGUCCCUCGCUAAGCAGUGUAAUGGUACGUUGUAAAGGAAUUGAGCAUUGUCCUUACUUCGCUGACUGAAGUGAUACGUUUCUUUUCUUCUUUACUCCUUCCCACAGUCACCCUUUUAUUUUUUUUGUCUUACAGAUGUACCAUUUCAUCCCACCAUGGCUGUAUCAGCAUAGAUAUAUAUGUGCCUACACAUAUAUAUACAGAGAGAGAGAGAGAAACUGAUCAAAACAAUAAGCAAUUUAUUAUUCACUACCUUAUGUUUUACAAACAUAGUUUCUUUACCCAAGAAUGUCAUCAAAGACCCCUUUUUCCAACUCUGUAUUGUGUGUCAGCUUUGCUCUGGGACAUUUUUUGUCUUCUGUUUUUGGGGUUGGCGCUAUUUUGGUUUUGAGGUUGGUGUUUUUUUUUUUUUUUUUUAUUUCAGG